rnacentral:tRNA from 1 species
GGAUGUAGCUCAGUGGUAGAGCGUUCGCUUUGCAUGCGAACGGCCCCGGGUUCGAUCCCUAGCAUCUCCA